GACGAACGCUGGCGGCGUGCUUAACACAUGCAAGUCGAACGGAGUGGCGAACGGGUGAGUAACACGUGGGUGACCUGCCCUGCACUUCGGGAUAAGCCUGGGAAACUGGGUCUAAUACCGGAUAGUGUGGGAUGGGCCCGCGGCCUAUCAGCUUGGUGGUGGGGUAAUGGCCUACCAAGGCGGCGGCGGGUCGCCGGCCUGGGAGGGUGGGAGGCCACACUGGGACUGAGACACGGCCCAGACUCCUACGGGAGGCAGCAGUGGGGAAUAUUGCACAAUGGGCGGAAGCCUGAUGCAGAGACGCCGCGUGGGGGAUGACGGCCUUCGGGUUGUAAACUCCUUUCACCAUCGACGCGGUAGAUGGAGAAGAAGCACCGGCUAAAUACGGGCCAGCCGCCGCGGUAAUUC
rnacentral:rRNA from 1 species